UCUGGUGGGUAGUUUGACUGGGGCGGUCUCCUCCUAAAGAGUAACGGAGGAGCACGAAGGUUGGCUAAUCCUGGUCGGACAUCAGGAGGUUAGUGCAAUGGCAUAAGCCAGCUUGACUGCGAGCGUGACGGCGCGAGCAGGUGCGAAAGCAGGUCAUAGUGAUCCGGUGGUUCUGAAUGGAAGGGCCAUCGCUCAACGGAUAAAAGGUACUCCGGGGAUAACAGGCUGAUACCGCCCAAGAGUUCAUAUCGACGGCGGUGUUUGGCACCUCGAUGUCGGCUCAUCACAUCCUGGGGCUGAAGUAGGUCCCAAGGGUAUGGCUGUUCGCCAUUUAAAGUGGUACGCGAGCUGGGUUUAGAACGUCGUGAGACAGUUCGGUCCCUAUCUGCCGUGGGCGCUGGAGAACUGAGGGGGGCUGCUCCUAGUACGAGAGGACCGGAGUGGACGCAUCACUGGUGUUCGGGUUGUCAUGCCAAUGGCACUGCCCGGUAGCUAAAUGCGGAAGAGAUAAGUGCUGAAAGCAUCUAAGCACGAAACUUGCCCCGAGAUGAGUUCUCCCUGAGACUUAGAGUCUCCUGAAGGAACGUUGAAGACGACGACGUUGAUAGGCCGGGUGUGUAAGCGCAGCGAUGCGUUGAGCUAACCGGUACUAAUGAACCGUGAGGCUUAACCUUACA
rnacentral:rRNA from 1 species